rnacentral:lncRNA from 1 species
UUUAUCUGUUCUUAUCAGCCUGUCCAGCUACUUAGGUCAUUAAGUCAAACACUUAAAGAGCCCUUGAGCUAACUAGGAUUGCAAUGCAUUGUGGGCUGCAAUAAAAUGCAGCAAGACAACCCUAAAAAAAAAAAAAUCACCUAAAGCCCCUACUCAACAAGCAUAAGCAAAGUCCGGGAAGAUAGUGACCCCAUAGUACUCAGCCUCUGAGGAACCGGGGGAGGGAGCUGCGCACUAGGGGAUAAAUUGCUUGUUAAAACUGUACUGGUGGGAGGCUGAGGCAGGAGAAUCACUUGAACCCAGGAGGCGGAAGUUGCAGUGAGCUGAGAUCGUGCCACUGCACUCAAGCCUGGGUGACAGAGCAAGACUCUGUCUCCAAAAGCAAACAAACAAACAAACAAAACUAUACUGGGCGUGCCUGCCUAUCAGACACCCAAUCUUGCAAGACCACCAUUAAAAGUCUCACUUUUGCUGUUCUCCGAGUCUCUGAAUCCAUUCUUUGGGUUUGGAAGGGUGAGUUUGUUUUUCACAAUCUGGUGGCCAUACGGGGAUCUCUGUGCCUGCAUGGAGAGGGGAGACGUGCCCCACUUGAUUUAUGUGGCCCGCUCUGUCUGGAUGUCCCGGCUCCCCACAGAAGCCACAGACAAACCGGAGACCAUGAUUCAGGAGAUAACAAAAGUGACACAGGAAGAAAAGCAGGCACCGCGGCAACCAGACAACCUCGUGCACGAACCACGGUGGGAAAAUGGGACUGUCACCACUUCCAGCCUGGCGACUUGGUGCUAAUUAAGACUUGGAAGGAAGACAAUCUCCACCCAAGCUGGGAAGGUUCCUAUCAAGUGCUCGUGAUCACUGAGACAGCCGUAGGAACAGCUGAACGGGGUGGACACUCACACUCGGGUCAAGAGACUGGUAAAAGAAACCCCAGAAGGAAGGGAAAAAGAAACUUUGCUCUGGUGGAGGAAACAAACAUGGACACAUUGUGAGAGUUCCAGGAAGUGGCCACUUGGAGGUGGUAUCAAAGUGCUGUGGGAAUCCACUUGGGAUUGCUGGAGGAGAAGCCAGUUGCCAUAUUGUGAGGAUGCUCAAGCAACCUUAUGAAGAGGUCUACAUGGUGAAGAACUAAGGCCUACUAUCAAAAACAAACACUAAUUUGCCAGACAUGUGAAUAAUCAGCUUCUGAUAACUGUAGAGAAAAGUAUGGGCAGAAAGGAGAAAGUAAGCCAAGAGGGGAGCUGGAAGUCAGGACCUACUGCCUUGGAAAGCCAUCGUGCUGUGAGGACUCUUCAUCAUUCCUCAAGGUACUUCUGCUUCCUUCCCUUACCUCCCACUACCUCCUAGGCACUCCACUGAACCUGCCCACCUCCACUCCUGCCAUCUCUGCCCACCUCUACUCCAAGCAUCUGGGCAUCCACACUCAGUUCACGUCAGAUCUGGGUGUAAUGAGUUUGAAGUCAGUUUUCAAAGUUGUAUUAAUAGAAUCUUUCUUUGGCCACCCAGGUUUUGGAGAAUUUGGUCAUCCUUCCACUUUAUGGACUGUGAAUUAUCUUGUGACCAAUGAUUUCCUCUUCUUCCCACCUAGGUGUUACUUCACUUACCAACAAUUCCCCAAUUCCCCAAAGUGGAAGGAAGGAGACAAACUUGUACCUUUGACUCAUUUUUCAGAAACUAUGGUGUAAAGGUCUCUGGGAAACUGGGUGAAACUAAAGGGCCAUAUGAUAUUGUUUUCAUUUAUUUUUAUUUUUUAACCUGGAAAAUGUGAAAUGUGUAGAUGCAAUGCCAUAUGAUGUUGAGGAAUUAUUUGUUUUAAAUUAUCUUUCCUCCUUUAUGUCCUGGGCAAAUAUUAAUUAGUUGGUUAUUUGUAACCAUCAGAAAGGAUCCUACUGAUGGCAUGACUCCUUUGCCAAACUUCUUAUCAAAAAUAAGGACUCUGGAACGUUAUGAAAAUAAGAGGUCUAUGGCCAUACCACCCUGAAAACACGCAAUCUUGUCUGAUCUUGGAAGCUAAGCAGGGUUGUGCCUGGUUAGUAUUUGGGUGGGCUAUAGGCUUCUGGCAUCCCAUUC